UACGUAGGGACCGAGCGUUGUCCGGAAUCAUUGGGCGUAAAGAGCGUGUAGGCAGCCAACUAAGUCCUGCGUGAAAUCUCGGGGCUCAACCCCGAGCGGUCGUGGGAAACUGGUUGGCUAGAGUGCGGGAGAGGAGAGUGGAAUUCCUGGUGUAGCGGUGAAAUGCGCAGAUAUCAGGAGGAACACCCGUGGCGAAGGCGGGUCUCUGGGCCGAUACUGACGCUGAGGAGCGAAAGCGUGGGGAGCAAACAGG
rnacentral:rRNA from 1 species